UACGGAGGGUGCAAGCGUUAUCCGGAUUUACUGGGUUUAAAGGGUGCGUAGGCGGCUUGUUAAGUCAGGAGUGAAAGUUUGCGGCUCAACCGUAAAAUUGCUUUUGAUACUGGCAGGCUAGAAUUAGGAUGAGGUUAGCGGAAUGUGGCAUGUAGCGGUGAAAUGCAUAGAUAUGCCAUAGAACACCAAUUGCGAAGGCAGCUGGCUAGACCUAUAUUGACGCUGAGGCACGAAAGCGUGGGGAGCGAACAGG
rnacentral:rRNA from 1 species